GGUUGGAUGGUGUAGUGGUAACACCUCCCAGCGCAUAUGGGAUGACCCGGGUUCAAUCCCCGCUGACCAACUU
rnacentral:tRNA from 1 species